GCUUUCAAGGAAGUUCUUUUGAUUUGCAAGCAACCAUAAAAUGCUAGAGUCAAAGGGCCGUAUCUCCUGCCAACAUAUCACAUGAAGCUGGAGAUCACAAUGAAUCAAGACACAUGGAAGUAAUUCCCCAAAGGAGGCCCUUGUACACCAGAUCCUGUGCUGGAUCUCCUCAUCAAUGUUCACUGUCUGAGAGAGGCAGCUAUUGAGGUCAAUUUGAGAAGGAAGGUGGUCCUUCAUGAAAACAAAGAUGGAUGUCAAAAGAAUGGAGAACAGAGUUGGGGCGAUGACACAUCCUUGCUUGACCCCAGUUUGGAUGACAAAUGGAUCUGUCUCUGAUCAACUAUAAAGAAUAGUUGCAGUCAUCUCGCUGUGGAAGAGCCUCAGGACCUUGAUGUAUUUUUCAGGACAUCCAAAUCUGGCCAGUUAUUUCCACAAGGCUUUACUACUGAUGGAGUCAAAGGUUUUUAAUCAGGUCAAUGAAGGCCAUAUAGAGGUCUAUAUAUUGUUCCUAACACUUUUCUUGGAUUUGGUGGGCAAUAAAGAUCACACCAAUUGUCCCACAGGAUGGUCUGAAACUUCAUUGAAUUUCUGGCAGCAGGAGGUAGAAGACAAUUCAGAAGGAUGUGGGAGAGGAUUUUCCCUGCUCUGCAAAGGAAGAAAAAAUCAUCGCACUGAUUGACAUAACUGGCUGUCUCUAUUCUACAUAGAACCAAGCCUGAGAAGAGAGAUGAUAUCUGAUAGACCCAACUGCCCUGGCAGAACCUGCAGGAUGAAGCUUGCAAAGUUCAUACUCUUACAACAUUUCAUUCUGAAGAGCUUUUACUUUCUUGAAAAUUAAAAUUUACAGCUAGUUUGAAAAACCUGCUCAGUAAGGAACAAUGGUGAAUGACCAUGUUAAAAAGUCAGUUGUUAUGCGACUAUACGUGGAUUUGAUCCUGCUGCCAGUUGCCUGUCUAUGUAAGGUCUUGAUCAAGCAGGUCUGUUUUAGUUGACUAACACUUGUGCCACACCAGAGUCCUUGCUGAAGUCAAUGUGGCAUUCUCAUGCAGAUUUACUUUUAGAGCCACCAUCUAAAGUCCUGACCCUGCAAACUGUUGAGCAGGUUGACUCUGAUUCAAUAAACCAUAUAAAUGCAUGAUUGUUUUUAAAUAUGUGAGUUCUAUUUUAAUGGGACUAUUCACACACUCUAAUUAUUAUUCUGGUAUUAUUAUUUUAUUAAUCAUUUGUAUUGCAGUAGAACCAAAAAGCUCCAUUUUGAGGCCCCAAAAGAUUGAGACACCACUGUGCUCAUGCUUAAAAAAAAGUCUUUUUCUGCCCCAAACAACCUAUGUUCUAAGCAUGAGUCAAGCACAGAAAUAUAUCUUUAAGUGGAUUAGUUUCCAAAGCAGAAAGACUGGGAAAAGGCACCGUAGAAACCCAUGGUGUGUUUUACAGAGGCAGCUGAAAUAGAUACUCUCUUCAGAGACCAAUCUCUAACAAGCACCUCCAUCCCUGAACACCAUAUGGUAUCAUAAAAAGAGAGAAAUUAUAGAAUAUACUUUGAGUAGAAGAACAAACCAGGUAAAAUCUCCAUAAGAGCUGGAAUUCUGUGAAAAUGUGGAAGAUAACUGGAAGAGAUUUAAACAAGACUACACUCUGUAUCUGCCAGCAAUAGCAGAAGACAAUGAGAAGACAACUGUAUUUCUAACAAUGCCAGAUUCUGAUUCACUUGAUGUAUUUAAUGGUUUUCAGUUAUCUUAGGCAGAGGCAGCCAGCUAUGAAACUGCAUUACAAUUUUUUUGAUGGAAUAUUAAAAUCGAUGUAGAUGAAGUUCUCAUCUGGAAAAAAUAGUAGAAAAGCAGUACUGGAGGCUUAAAGCAGCUGUGGUAAGAGCAAGAGCUGCUGGACUGAAGCUAAACAACCAAAAUUAUAUAUUCCAUUUAUAGGAAAUAACUUCUCCCCCAAACAUGUUAAUACAAUUAAGUGUACAGGUAGACCAUAGUAAAAUGAGUCCAUGGCAAGCAUCCCCAGGAAACAAGGAUGAAGUUACAAAGUUUCCUUGGAGUGAUCACUUACAUAGGGAAUUCUGUAGUUAUUCUGUGGAUGCCUAUACACAUACAAAUGACCUGGGAGAAUUCUGGGCUUGUUCUCUUGGUAGAACAACUCACCCCAUGAUGCCUAAAUAAAUGUUUGAAUGCUGAUUCCCUGAAGGAGAGAACAUUCAGUACUGAUGCUGUGCAGCCAAAGGACCCCUGUGCACACAGCUCAGCAUGCUCUGUAGGCUCCCUCCAUCUGCCUGCUAACAGAUGGCAGCACUGCACAGGGCAGCCCUGAUUGGCUGACCUAGACUGCUCAGGGUUAGCUUGCAUCUCCCUGCAGCACAAUGUGGGAUUGUGAAGGGGGCAUGGUCUGCUCCCUGCUUGGCUGGAGAAGCCCAACCCAAGUAACACACUCUCUCUGGGGGUGGAAGGACAAGAAGCAAAGCACCCUGGGAACUGGACAACUAUGCUGUGGCUUCUCUUGGAAUGGGAAGUAGUAUAGAUAGUCACUCUCCAGGAGAAACUCCCCUGGGAGUGAUUUAUUUCUGUUAUUGUUCCUAGGUUAUUUUUUUCCUGGAGCAGCCAUUUCUGCUAUGGGACAAAAAUCCUGAACAUCUCUACACUUGUGGUUUCUCCUGAGAAAGCAGUGACUCUCAGGGGAAGUGAAAUGUCUGUAUGUGGCCUAUGAUUAAAUCAAUAAGAUGAGAGCACCCCUAUAGAAAUAGGACCAAAGAUACAGAUAUUAAUGAAGAGACUGGACCUGAAAACAUUAAUUAGAGAGAUACCAGUCCUAUGGUACAAUGAAAAGAAUGCAAAACUAAAUUG